UAGGGAAUCUUCCACAAUGGACGAAAGUCUGAUGGAGCAACGCCGCGUGAGUGAAGAAGGGUUUCGGCUCGUAAACUCUGUUGUUAAGAAGAACAUAUCUGAGAGUAACUGUUCAGGUAUUGACGGUAUUUAACCAGAAAGCCACGGCUAACUACGUGCCAG
rnacentral:rRNA from 1 species